GACCAAUGCACCCCUGCAUUGCUAGAUCACUUUGGUUCAUCCCCUCCAGAAGAUAAAAGUAGUUUGUUGACCUGUGAAGUUCACGGGGGAAGAAAUACAAUGCUACGUCCUUGGUAUCAGGAGGAUUUGACUGAAAAACCCGAGGCCAAACAUCUAAGCGACUUAGAAGCUUAAACUUCAUUCUCUGAGGCAAUUGGCACAGCGUGGUGUAUGCCUUGGGG
rnacentral:misc_RNA from 1 species